AGUAACACAUCGGAACGUGUCCUAUUGUGGGGGAUAACCAGUCGAAAGACGGGCUAAUACCGCAUGAGCUGGAGACAGGAAAGCGGGGGACCGGUAACGGCCUCGCGCGAUUGGAGCGGCCGAUGUCCGAUUAGCUAGUUGGUAGGGUAAAGGCCUACCAAGGCGACGAUCGGUAGCUGGUCUGAGAGGAUGAUCAGCCACACUGGGACUGAGACACGGCCCAG
rnacentral:rRNA from 1 species